AAACUUUGCUUUAGAUUUGUAUCUGUCUACUAAAUUGUCAAUCUAAAGGAUGAUAUACAUUAGUUGUUAUAGAAUAGAAUUUAGAAUAUGUCGGAGUUUGUCUUGGAUCACAUAUAAAAUGAAUUAUUUUCUAGAGUACUGAGAUGAAUAUAAGGCAGUGUCACCCACAUUGAAGAAAAAGUCUUUAUAGACUUAAAGAGUAAUUAGGUUAAUUCAUUAAAAUACCCCUCUAGAUGUAACUAGCGUUGUAUUUCUUAACAUUUUAAAAUCUAGAAUUUCAAAAACAGAAUUUUAGUGCUAUCACAGUUUGAAAGAGGACAUCCAUGUUUUAACCAUAGAAAUUAUAAAGAAAAUUCUAAAAUGACACCUUUCCUC
rnacentral:lncRNA from 1 species